rnacentral:miRNA from 7 species
UUUCAGUGGUGCCCAGUGCCAGGACAAGAGACCAUGUGCACAAACUGGAGCACAGGGGCUCCCUCUGAGCACCAGGCAG